AGCUUUUAUUGCGGGAGGUAGCAGCGGGGGGCGGCUGAGUCGUGUCCCCAAACCCGAGCGGGGCUGGCCGGGUCCCCAUGGGAUCCUCAAGCCCGGGUGUCUCUGGACCGGGUCCCCAUGGGAUCCCCAACCUCAAGUGGUCCUAGAUCAUGGAGUCCCGAGACCUGUGUGGGCUUGGACCGGGUCCCCAUGGGGUCCUCACACCCAGGUGACCCUGGACUGAGCCCCAGGAGGGUCCCCAAAAGAGGUGUGCCCACAGGGUCAGUCUCCAGCCCUUGGACGGGACCCAUCGGGUCCCCGAACCCAGGUGACCUCAGACCAGGUCCCCACGGGGUCCCCAACACAGGCAAUCCUGGUUCAGUUCCCCACGUGUUCCCCAUAAAGAAUGGGGUAGGUAGGUCCGUGUCCCCAUUCCGGGGUGUCCCCGCGCCCCACGGUGUCCCUGGGGCGCAUCAUCGUGGCCAUCCCCACGCCGUGUCCCCCCCCAUUUAGGGCUGCAUCCGGAGAGCCCCGUCCAACCUCACCACCUCCCCAUUGAUCAUAGGGUUCUCAGCCAAGGCCUGCACCAGGUGGGCGUAUUCAGAAGGGUUCCCCAGCCGAGACGGGAAGGGAACCUGCUGCCCUAAAAAGUUCCGCACCUUCUCGGGCAGCCCGGCCAGCAGCGGGGUGGAGAAAAGCCCUGGGGCGAUGGUGACCACACGGAUCCCCAGUGGUGCCAGGUCACGGGCGAUGGGCAACGUCAUGCCCACGAUGCCACCCUUGGAGGCUGAAUAGGCUGCCUGGCCCACCUGCCCUUCAAAGGCAGCCACGCUGGCUGUGUUCACCACCAGCCCCCGGUGGCCAUCAGGAUCAGGUGUGUUUUGGCUCAUUAGGCGAGCGCUGAGGCGGAUAACGUUGAAGGUCCCAACGAGGUUAACGUUAAUGACCCGCUGGAAGUCCUCCAGCUCGUGUACUUUGUCCUUCUUGGCGUUGUAGGUCUUGACGGCGAUUCCCACCCCGGCGCAGUUCACAGUCAGCUCCAGCUUCCCAAAAGUCUUCUUGGCCAAUGCCAGUGCAGCCUCCACCUCCUCAGCCGACGUCACGUUAGCGGGGGCAAAGGCGCAACGUUCACCCAGCUCCGCUGCCAGCUGUGCCCCCUGCGAGCUGGGCAGGUCAAGGAGGACAACGCGGGCUCCUUGCUCCACCAAACGCUCCGCCGUAGCCCUGCCCAGCCCUGAGGCUCCGCCGGUCACCAGAGCCACCAUUCCCUUGACGCUGCGCAGGGCCGCCAUGGUGGGGCCAAUA
rnacentral:lncRNA from 1 species